rnacentral:rRNA from 1 species
UACGUAGGGUGCAAGCGUUGUCCGGAAUUAUUGGGCGUAAAGAGCUCGUAGGCGGUCUGUCACGUCGCUGUGAAAUCCCGAGGCUCAACCUCGGGUCUGCAGUCGAUACGGGCAAACUAGAGUAUUGCAGGGGAGACUGGAAUUCCUGGUGUAGCGGUGAAAUGCGCAGAUAUCAGGAGGAACACCGGUGGCGAAGGCGGGUCUCUGGGCAACAACUGACGCUGAGGAGCGAAAGCGUGGGGAGCGAACAGG